rnacentral:misc_RNA from 1 species
GGGAAUAAGUGAACAGAAUUAAACAGUUACGAAAAAAAAAAAGGGUACC